rnacentral:rRNA from 1 species
CCUACGGGAGGCAGCAGUGAGGAAUAUUGGUCAAUGGCCGGAAGGCUGAACCAGCCAUGCCGCGUGAAGGUCAGUGCCCUAUGGGCGUUAAACUUCUUUUGUGCGGGAGCAAUAAUGGUCACGUGUGGCCAGACGAGAGUACCGUACGAAUAAGCAUCGGCUAACCCCGUGCCAGCAGCCGCGGUAAUUCGGGGGAUGCAGGCGUUAUCCGGGUUUUUUGGGUUUAAAGGGUGCGUAGGCUGUGAGGUAAGUCAGCGGUGAAAUGCCCCCGCUCAACGGGGUGAAGUGCCAUUGAUACUGCCUUGCUGGAGUGCGGAUGCCGUGGGAGGAAUGUGUGGUGUAGCGGUGAAAUGCAUAGAUAUCACGCAGAACACCGAUUGCGAAGGCAUCUCACGAAUCCGCGAUUGACGCUGAUGCACGAAAGCGUGGGUAUCAAACAGGAUUAGAUACCCGGGUAGUC